rnacentral:rRNA from 1 species
UACGUAGGGUGCAAGCGUUGCCCGGAAUUAUUGGGCGUAAAGCGCGCGCAGGCGGUCCUUUAAGUCUGAUGUGAAAGCCCACGGCUCAACCGUGGAGGGCCAUUGGAAACUGGGGGACUUGAGUGCAGAAGAGGAGAGUGGAAUUCCACGUGUAGCGGUGAAAUGCGUAGAGAUGUGGAGGAACACCAGUGGCGAAGGCGACUCUCUGGUCUGUAACUGACGCUGAGGCGCGAAAGCGUGGGGAGCGAACAGG